UAGCAACUGAAGGUUAACAAGCUAUUGCAUUAUCGGUAAUAGCUCUAAUGAGUAUAAAUAGAGUUUUCCGACAUUGCCGGGGCACACUUCGAAUCUUCAAGUUGUUACUAACAAUCUUGUCUCGUAUUGUUAUAUCACUUCAUUUUAUUGCUUUGAAAUGAAAUUUCUCAAUUGUUUCAUCUUUUUGAUUGUUUUCGUCUCUCUAGCUUUUGCGAAGACGAUUUAUUAUGAAGGAUGCAUUUCGGCGGGUAAAUGUAGUCCCAACGGGAAUGGAUCACCAUGUUGUGCUGGCCUUAAAUGCAAUCGUAUAUUUAACGAUUAUGCACUGUGUCAAGAUAUCAACCCGACAACGGAAGCAAGUUCUGGUUUCUUUCCCUGGGGAUAAAAAUAAAAGUUGAUUUCUCUUUUAACACAUCCUCGAAUUAUACGCCAUUGAGUCCUUAUGGUCGGCAGCUAAACAUAUCAUGUUCAACACAGCAGGUAAUGAAGAUACGUAAUUGUUCAAAUGAUGACGUCAGCCGUCCAAAUAUAUUGAAGUAAAUCAAUGCGUAAUCUCGUAAUGAAAUUUUCCAUCAUACUUCAAGCGCUCUUUAUUACCUGUGGCAGGUUAGCAGCCGUCUGUAGACACUCAUAGGCGUAAUUUUCAAGCAUUUGUUAAAAAAACUAAUUUUUAUAUUGCGUGCAAUAUAUAAACUAUUAUCCGACGAACAUAAAAAAAAAUUAAAAUUUUCUUUCUCCCCAUUGAUCUAAAUUAUUGUUUUGUUAAAUCCAAACUUCUAACUAUUAAAAUUUGGCACGAUGGCUUCCCAAGUAGAAACGGUUUCACCGAAAUUCAUAAUAAAAUUUAAAACUACUUCAGAAAAAUGAUCUUCAGAAAAAUUAUUCACAUCAGUUAACUUUUAAUUAAAUAAGAAUCUUCCAGAACCUGAGAAUAAAAAAAAAUUAUUUUUCAUAAAAAAUUUCAUUGUUUCUACACUAGUUGGCCAUUUCGCUCUACCAUUUUAUUUAUUAUUUGAUGUUAUAAAAAUUAUGUUUUCGAACUAUUUAUUCAAAUAAAUUUAAUUAGAAUAAUAUAAA